GGGCGGGGUCGGCUUGUGGUCCGGUUGGGGCUCAGGUAUAAAUACGAAGCUAUUCCAGGUACGAGUUAUCAAUUCAGUUUCGCCACAACUGCAAUCUUAAUCUCUUCUCGUAAACUUCAGCUUUAAGCUACCCCACAAAAUCUUCAAGAUGUUCAAGCUCUUGGUUCUCCUCGCCAUCGUCGCCGCUGCCUCUGCCCAAUACUACGGCAGCUAUUAUGGCAGCUACGUUCCCUCAUACGGAUACUCUUCUUAUGCCUACCCUGCCUACACCGGUUACUCCAGCGGAGUCUAUGGCUACUCUGGAUACCCAGCUUACAGCUACGGAGGACUUUCUUACUUCAAGAAGUAGAUGACUGAUUUGAUCGAAAAAUAAUUGACUGGACCGCCCCCGGAUUUUUAUUAUCCAUCUUCUAAAUUGUUUUUACCAUGUAAAGUCUUCUUCUAAAGUCUUUACUACGAAUUAAAGAAACACUCACUUAGAAAAUUUAA